GACGAACGCUGGCGGCGUGCCUAAUACAUGCAAGUAGAACGCACAGUUUAUACCGUAGCUUGCUACACCAUAAACUGUGAGUUGCGAACGGGUGAGUAACGCGUAGGUAACCUGCCUGGUAGCGGGGGAUAACUAUUGGAAACGAUAGCUAAUACCGCAUAAUAUUGAUUAUUGCAUGAUAAUUGAUUGAAAGAUGCUAUUGCAUCACUACCAGAUGGACCUGCGUUGUAUUAGCUAGUAGGUGAGGUAACGGCUCACCUAGGCGACGAUACAUAGCCGACCUGAGAGGGUGAUCGGCCACACUGGGACUGAGACACGGCCCAGACUCCUACGGGAGGCAGCAGUAGGGAAUCUUCGGCAAUGGACGAAAGUCUGACCGAGCAACGCCGCGUGAGUGAAGAAGGGUUUCGGAUCGUAAAGCUCUGUUGUAAGAGAAGAACGGGUGUGAGAGUGGAAAGUUCACUCUGUGACGGUAUCUUACCAGAAAGGGACGGCUAACUACGUG
rnacentral:rRNA from 1 species